ACACUGCGGACGAGUCCAAAACAGGACGAAACAGCUGUUCAGUGC
rfam:Echinostoma caproni strain Egypt genome assembly, scaffold: ECPE_scaffold0004883